UUUUCGGAUCGUAAAGUUCUGUUGUUAGGGAAGAACAAGUACCGUUCGAAUAGGGCGGUACCUUGACGGUACCUAACGAGGAAGCCCCGGCUAACUACGUGCCAGCAGCCGCGGUAAUACGUAGGGGGCAAGCGUUGUCCGGAAUUAUUGGGCGUAAAGCGCGCGCAGGCGGUUUUUUAAGUCUGAUGUGAAAUCUUGUGGCUCAACCACAAGCGGUCAUUGGAAACUGGAGAACUUGAGGACAGAAGAGGAGAGUGGAAUUCCACGUGUAGCGGUGAAAUGCGUAGAUAUGUGGAGGAACACCAGUGGCGAAGGCGACUCUCUGGUCUGUAACUGACGCUGAGGCGCGAAAGCGUGGGGAGCGAACAGGAUUAGAUACCCUGGUAGUCCACGCCGUAAACGAUGAGUGCUAGGUGUUAGGGGGUUUCCGCCCCUUAGUGCUGCAGUUAACGCAUUAAGCACUCCGCCUGGGGAGUACGGCCGCAAGGCUGAAACUCAAAAGAAUUGACGGGGACCCGCACAAGCGGUGGAGCAUGUGGUUUAAUUCGAAGCAACGCGAAGAACCUUACCAGGUCUUGACAUCCUCUGAACACACGAGAGAUCGUGUUUUCCCUUCGGGGACAGAGUGACAGGUGGUGCAUGGUUGUCGUCAGCUCGUGUCGUGAGAUGUUGGGUUAAGUCCCGCAACGAGCGCAACCCUUAAUCUUAGUUGCCAGCAUUUAGUUGGGCACUCU
rnacentral:rRNA from 1 species